CCCCCGGCCAUUACCGAAGCGGAUGAAAACAAACACUAACGAUGGCGGCGCCGGGAAGCGACAGGCUGCUGGGCUUAAGGCGGGAGUGACCGCUUAACCAGUGAGGGAAGCACUGAAGAGCGCCAGUCGACGUGGGUGCGACAACUCGCGGAGUCUUAGGAGCAAAACGUCUGGGGCCUGCGAGCCAGGACCCUUCUGAAGCCUUAGGUGUCUGUCGGCGACGUGUACGGUCACUGCAGCUCCGGAGCGCGGAACCCUCAGCCAGGAGGCGCGGCUGGUCGGUCCCAGGUCCCGGCCUCCGUAAUGAGAGCCCGGAACCACUCUUUGUGCCGCAGCUUCACAGGUGAGGGUGACUGUUGACUAGUGAAAAAAGGGACCCAUGGUUCACGACUGUCUUCUUACUGGCAGUGGAACGACCUGUGGAAACCUGUGAUCCAUUCUCAUUAAAUAAAUCUCUGGGCUGUGUCGUCCCAAAGAUACUAAGUAACAGGCAGAAUUGGAUAUGGCACAAAUUUCUGUUUAAAGAGAUGCGGUCUCGCUCUGUUGCCCAGGCUGUUGUGCAGUGGUAUUCACAG
rnacentral:sRNA from 1 species